rnacentral:rRNA from 1 species
ACCGAAAGGUGGUCUAAUACUUCAUAAUAUCCAUCUCGUAUGGAUUAAAGCUUUAUGCGCUUUGGGAGGGGCCUGCGUAACAUUAGCUUGUUGGUGAGGUAAAAGCUCACCAAGGCUUCGAUGUUUAACUGGUUUGAGAGGAUGACCAGUCACACUGGGACUGAGAUACGGCCCAGACUCCUACGGGAGGCAGCAGUAAGGAAUCUUCCACAAUGGGGCAACCCUGAUGGAGCAAUACCGCGUGCAGGAUGAAGCGUUUCGGCGUGUAAACUGCUUUUAUCACCGAAGAUUAUGACUGUAGGUGAAGAAUAAGGACCGGCUAACUACGUG